rnacentral:rRNA from 1 species
AGAGUUUGAUCCUGGCUCAGGAUGAACGCUGACAGAAUGCUUAACACAUGCAAGUCUACUUGAACUUCGGUUUGGGUGGCGGACGGGUGAGUAACGCGUAAAGAACUUGCCUCACAGUUAGGGACAACAUUUGGAAACGAAUGCUAAUACCUGAUAUUAUGAUUUUAGGGCAUCCUAAGAUUAUGAAAGCUAUAUGCGCUGUGAGAGAGCUUUGCGUCCCAUUAGCUAGUUGGAGAGGUAACGGCUCACCAAGGCGAUGAUGGGUAGCCGGCCUGAGAGGGUGAACGGCCACAAGGGGACUGAGACACGGCCCUUACUCCUACGGGAGGCAGCAGUGGGGAAUAUUGGACAAUGGACCAAAAGUCUGAUCCAGCAAUUCUGUGUGCACGAUGACGUUUUUCGGAAUGUAAAGUGCUUUCAGUUGGGAAGAAAAAAAUGACGGUACCAACAGAAGAAGUGACGGCUAAAUACGUGCCAGCAGCCGCGGUAAUACGUAUGUCACAAGCGUUAUCCGGAUUUAUUGGGCGUAAAGCGCGUCUAGGUGGUUAUGUAAGUCUGAUGUGAAAAUGCAGGGCUCAACUCUGUAUUGCGUUGGAAACUGCAUGACUAGAGUACUGGAGAGGUAAGCGGAACUACAAGUGUAGAGGUGAAAUUCGUAGAUAUUUGUAGGAAUGCCGAUGGGGAAGCCAGCUUACUGGACAGAUACUGACGCUAAAGCGCGAAAGCGUGGGUAGCAAACAGGAUUAGAUACCCUGGUAGUCCACGCCGUAAACGAUGAUUACUAGGUGUUGGGGGUCGAACCUCAGCGCCCAAGCUAACGCGAUAAGUAAUCCGCCUGGGGAGUACGUACGCAAGUAUGAAACUCAAAGGAAUUGACGGGGACCCGCACAA